rnacentral:rRNA from 1 species
UACGUAGGGGGCGAGCGUUGUCCGGAUUCAUUGGGCGUAAAGAGCUCGUAGGCGGCUUGGCAAGUCAGGUGUGAAAUCUCGGGGCUCAACCCCGAAACUGCACUUGAUACUGCGGUGCUCGAGUACUGGAGAGGAGAUUGGAAUUUACGGUGUAGCAGUGAAAUGCGUAGAUAUCGUAAGGAAGACCAGUGGCGAAGGCGGCUCACUGGACUGGUACUGACGCUGAUGCGCGAAAGCGUGGGGAGCAAACAGG